rnacentral:lncRNA from 1 species
AACAAAGCUUCGAGCAGUUAGUCUCUAAGACAAACUGAGAUUUUGCAUAGGCUGAUCUUGAACCAGGAUGGAGUUUUGAGUUGACUAUCCUCCGAGCUGAACCGAGGUUUUUAUAAGGGUUGACCAUAUAAUGAACCAAGAUUUUUACUGGGCUGAUCUCGAACCUUCCGAGCUUGUACACAUGCUAAACUCAAAAAGCAAAUGAGAUUUUACACUAGGCUGGUCUCAAACCAAUAUAGCUUUUAACCGAGUUGAGAUCGAGAAAUGAUGUGAAGAUUUUUCUCUGGUUAUUCUUCACAAACCAAAAAGAGAGUUUUUCUUCAAAGGCAAAGCUCACGAACCAAACAUAAACUUAUUAUAAUCCCCCAAAACCAACAAAGAGUUGUUACACUGGUUUAACUCUAUAUCAAAAUGAUCACUUCCUAAAGAAUGACGAUUUUACUAAAGAGAAAACUACUCGAUAAAUUUACAGUUUAAACCCUUACCUAGAACAAGUUUCUUACCGAACUCAAGAACACUAUCAAAGCACUAUGGAUUAAAUAAGUGAGAAAAAGAUUAAAAUGAUUUAGAGAGAUAAUAAGUGAGAUUAUGGACUUGAUUGAACCUCAUCUAAUCGAUUAGGUAUGUGUUCUAAUGGAUUAGACAGUUCAAAAACUUGUCAUAAUCAUCAAAACUUAAUCAAAACCACUUCAAAUGAUGUUGCUUCAGGUGUUGUCAUCAUCAAAACCAAAUCAUAAUCAAAGUUAAACAUUUGCUUCUUGAAUCUUGCUAUCCAUAAGCUUUGUCAUCUUGAAU